rnacentral:rRNA from 1 species
CCUACGGGAGGCAGCAGUGGGGGAUAUUGCACAAUGGGGGAAACCCUGAUGCAGCGACGCCGCGUGGGCGAAGAAGUAUUUCGGUAUGUAAAGCCCUAUCAGCAGGGAAGAAGAAAUGACGGUACCUGAGUAAGAAGCACCGGCUAAAUACGUGCCAGCAGCCGCGGUAAUACGUAGGUGGCAAGCGUUGUCCGGAAUUACUGGGUGUAAAGGGAGCGUAGACGGGAAAGCAAGUUGAAUGUUUAAGGUACGGGCUCAACCUGUACAAGCGUUCAAAACUGUUUUUCUUGAGUGGAGUAGAGGUAAGCGGAAUUCCUAGUGUAGCGGUGAAAUGCGUAAAUAUUAGGAGGAACACCAGUGGCGAAGGCGGCUUACUGGGCUUUAACUGACGCUGAGGCUCGAAAGCGUGGGUAGCAAACAGGAUUAGAUACCCGUGUAGUC